GACGAACGCUGGCGGCGUGCUUAACACAUGCAAGUCGAACGGAAAGGCCCUGCUUUUGUGGGGUGCUCGAGUGGCGAACGGGUGAGUAACACGUGAGUAACCUGCCCUUGACUUUGGGAUAACUUCAGGAAACUGGGGCUAAUACCGGAUAGGAGCUCCUGCUGCAUGGUGGGGGUUGGAAAGUUUCGGCGGUUGGGGAUGGACUCGCGGUUUAUCAGCUUGUUGGUGGGGUAGUGGCUUACCAAGGCUUUGACGGGUAGCCGGCCUGAGAGGGUGACCGGCCACAUUGGGACCGAGAUACGGCCCAGACUCCUACGGGAGGCAGCAGUGGGGAAUAUUGCACAAUGGGCGGAAGCCUGAUGCAGCAACGCCGCGUGCGGGAUGACGGCCUUCGGGUUGUAAACCGCUUUCGCCUGUGACGAAGCGUGAGUGACGGUAAUGGGUAAAGAAGCACCGGCUAACUACGUG
rnacentral:rRNA from 1 species